rnacentral:rRNA from 1 species
UACGUAGGGGGCAAGCGUUGUCCGGAUUUAUUGGGCGUAAAGAGCGUGUAGGCGGCCAGACAGGUCCGUUGUGAAAACUCGAGGCUCAACCUCGAGAUGUCGAUGGAAACCGUCUGGCUAGAGUCCGGAAGAGGAGUGUGGAAUUCCUGGUGUAGCGGUGAAAUGCGCAGAUAUCAGGAAGAACACCUAUGGCGAAGGCAGCACUCUGGGACGGUACUGACACUGAGGCACGAAAGCGUGGGGAGCAAACAGG